GACUCCGUAGCAUAUGGUAUGUGUCUGCUGCCCUUGAUUGCUUGAAGAAGUUCGAGUCAGCGGAAGAGCCUGGUUCGAAUCCGGGCGGGGUCU